rnacentral:rRNA from 1 species
GGGUUGUGAGGUUAAGCGACUAAGCGUACACGGUGGAUGCCCUGGCAGUCAGAGGCGAUGAAGGACGUGCUAAUCUGCGAUAAGCGUCGGUAAGGUGAUAUGAACCGUUAUAACCGGCGAUUUCCGAAUGGGGAAACCCAGUGUGUUUCGACACACUAUCAUUAACUGAAUCCAUAGGUUAAUGAGGCGAACCGGGGGAACUGAAACAUCUAAGUACCCCGAGGAAAAGAAAUCAACCGAGAUUCCCCCAGUAGCGGCGAGCGAACGGGGAGCAGCCCAGAGCCUGAAUCAGUGUGUGUGUUAGUGGAAGCGUCUGGAAAGGCGCGCGAUACAGGGUGACAGCCCCGUACACAAAAAUGCACAUACUGUGAGCUCGAUGAGUAGGGCGGGACACGUGGUAUCCUGUCUGAAUAUGGGGGGACCAUCCUCCAAGGCUAAAUACUCCUGACUGACCGAUAGUGAACCAGUACCGUGAGGGAAAGGCGAAAAGAACCCCGGCGAGGGGAGUGAAAAAGAACCUGAAACCGUGUACGUACAAGCAGUGGGAGCCUCUUUUAUGGGGUGACUGCGUACCUUUUGUAUAAUGGGUCAGCGACUUAUAUUCUGUAGCAAGGUUAACCGAAUAGGGGAGCCGAAGGGAAACCGAGUCUUAACCGGGCGUUAAGUUGCAGGGUAUAGACCCGAAACCCGGUGAUCUAGCCAUGGGCAGGUUGAAGGUUGGGUAACACUAACUGGAGGACCGAACCGACUAAUGUUGAAAAUUAGCGGAUGACUUGUGGCUGGGGGUGAAAGGCCAAUCAAACCGGGAGAUAGCUGGUUCUCCCCGAAAGCUAUUUAGGUAGCGCCUCGUGAAUUCAUCUCCGGGGGUAGAGCACUGUUUCGGCAAGGGGGUCAUCCCGACUUACCAACCCGAUGCAAACUGCGAAUACCGGAGAAUGUUAUCACGGGAGACACACGGCGGGUGCUAACGUCCGUCGUGAAGAGGGAAACAACCCAGACCGCCAGCUAAGGUCCCAAAGUCAUGGUUAAGUGGGAAACGAUGUGGGAAGGCCCAGACAGCCAGGAUGUUGGCUUAGAAGCAGCCAUCAUUUAAAGAAAGCGUAAUAGCUCACUGGUCGAGUCGGCCUGCGCGGAAGAUGUAACGGGGCUAAACCAUGCACCGAAGCUGCGGCAGCGACACUGUGUGUUGUUGGGUAGGGGAGCGUUCUGUAAGCCUGUGAAGGUGUACUGUAAGGUAUGCUGGAGGUAUCAGAAGUGCGAAUGCUGACAUAAGUAACGAUAAAGCGGGUGAAAAGCCCGCUCGCCGGAAGACCAAGGGUUCCUGUCCAACGUUAAUCGGGGCAGGGUGAGUCGACCCCUAAGGCGAGGCCGAAAGGCGUAGUCGAUGGGAAACAGGUUAAUAUUCCUGUACUUGGUGUUACUGCGAAGGGGGGACGGAGAAGGCUAUGUUGGCCGGGCGACGGUUGUCCCGGUUUAAGCGUGUAGGCUGGUUUUCCAGGCAAAUCCGGAAAAUCAAGGCUGAGGCGUGAUGACGAGGCACUACGGUGCUGAAGCAACAAAUGCCCUGCUUCCAGGAAAAGCCUCUAAGCAUCAGGUAACAUCAAAUCGUACCCCAAACCGACACAGGUGGUCAGGUAGAGAAUACCAAGGCGCUUGAGAGAACUCGGGUGAAGGAACUAGGCAAAAUGGUGCCGUAACUUCGGGAGAAGGCACGCUGAUAUGUAGGUGAAGUCCCUCGCGGAUGGAGCUGAAAUCAGUCGAAGAUACCAGCUGGCUGCAACUGUUUAUUAAAAACACAGCACUGUGCAAACACGAAAGUGGACGUAUACGGUGUGACGCCUGCCCGGUGCCGGAAGGUUAAUUGAUGGGGUCAGCGCAAGCGAAGCUCUUGAUCGAAGCCCCGGUAAACGGCGGCCGUAACUAUAACGGUCCUAAGGUAGCGAAAUUCCUUGUCGGGUAAGUUCCGACCUGCACGAAUGGCGUAAUGAUGGCCAGGCUGUCUCCACCCGAGACUCAGUGAAAUUGAACUCGCUGUGAAGAUGCAGUGUACCCGCGGCAAGACGGAAAGACCCCGUGAACCUUUACUAUAGCUUGACACUGAACAUUGAGCCUUGAUGUGUAGGAUAGGUGGGAGGCUUUGAAGUGUGGACGCCAGUCUGCAUGGAGCCGACCUUGAAAUACCACCCUUUAAUGUUUGAUGUUCUAACGUGGACCCGUGAUCCGGGUUGCGGACAGUGUCUGGUGGGUAGUUUGACUGGGGCGGUCUCCUCCUAAAGAGUAACGGAGGAGCACGAAGGUUGGCUAAUCCUGGUCGGACAUCAGGAGGUUAGUGCAAUGGCAUAAGCCAGCUUGACUGCGAGCGUGACGGCGCGAGCAGGUGCGAAAGCAGGUCAUAGUGAUCCGGUGGUUCUGAAUGGAAGGGCCAUCGCUCAACGGAUAAAAGGUACUCCGGGGAUAACAGGCUGAUACCGCCCAAGAGUUCAUAUCGACGGCGGUGUUUGGCACCUCGAUGUCGGCUCAUCACAUCCUGGGGCUGAAGUAGGUCCCAAGGGUAUGGCUGUUCGCCAUUUAAAGUGGUACGCGAGCUGGGUUUAGAACGUCGUGAGACAGUUCGGUCCCUAUCUGCCGUGGGCGCUGGAGAACUGAGGGGGGCUGCUCCUAGUACGAGAGGACCGGAGUGGACGCAUCACUGGUGUUCGGGUUGUCAUGCCAAUGGCACUGCCCGGUAGCUAAAUGCGGAAGAGAUAAGUGCUGAAAGCAUCUAAGCACGAAACUUGCCCCGAGAUGAGUUCUCCCUGACCCUUUAAGGGUCCUGAAGGAACGUUGAAGACGACGACGUUGAUAGGCCGGGUGUGUAAGCGCAGCGAUGCGUUGAGCUAACCGGUACUAAUGAACCGUGAGGCUUAACCUUACAACGCCGAAGGUGUUU